GUAGUAGUGUAUAGGCUGGUGUGGUUGUGGUAGUAGUGUAUAGUCUGGUGUGGUUGUGGUAGUAGUGUAUAGUCUGGUGUGGUUGUGGUACUAGUGUAUAGUCUGGUGUGGUUGUGGUAGUGGUGUAUAGUCUGGUGUGGUAGUGGUGUAUAGUCUGGUGUGGUUGUGGUGUAUAGUCUGGUGUGGUUGUGGUGUAUAGUCUGGUGUGGUUGUGGUAGUAGUGUAUAGUCUGUUGUGGUAGUAGUGUAUAGUCUGGUGUGGUUGUGGUAGUAGUGUAUAGUCUGGUGUGGUAGUAGUGUAUAGCCUGGUGUGGUUGUGGUAGUAGUGUAUUGUCUGGUGUGGUUGUGGUAGUAGUGUGUAGUCUGGUGUGGUUGUGGUAGUAGUGUGUAGUCUGGUGUGGUAGUAGUGUAUAGUCUGGUGUGGUUGUGGUAGUAGUGUAUUUUCUGGUGUGGUUGUGGUAGUAGUGUAUUUUCUGGUGUGGUUGUGGUAGUAGUGUGUAUAGUCUGGUGUGGUUGUGGUAGUAUUGUGUAGUCUGUUGUGGUAGUAGUGUAUUCUCUGGUGUGGUUGUGGUAGUAGUGUAUAGUCUGGUGUGGUCUUGGUAGUAGUGUAUAGUCUGGUGUGGUAGUAGUGUAUAGUCUGGUGUGGUAGUAGUGUAUAGUCUGGUGUGGGUGUGGUAGUUGUGUGUAGCCUGGUUUGUUUGUGGUAGUAGUGUAUAGUCUGGUGUGGUUGUGGUAGUAGUGUAUAGUCUGGUGUGGUAGUAGUGUAUAACCUGGUGUGGUUGUGGUAGUAGUGUAUAGUCUGGUGUGGUUGUGGUAGUAGUGUAUAGUCUGGUGUGGUUGUAGUGUAUAGUCUGGUGUGGUUGUGGUAGUAGUGUAUAGUCUGGUGUGGUUGUGGUAGUAGUGUAUAGUCUGUUGUGGUAGUAGUGUAUAGUCUGGUGUGGUUGUGGUAGUAGUGUAUAACCUGGUGUGGUUGUGGUAGUAGUGUAUAGUCUGGUGUGGUUGUGGUAGUAGUGUAUAGUUUGUUGUGGUAGUAGUGUAUAGUUUGUUGUGGUAGUAGUUUAUAGUCUGGUGUGGGUGUGGUAGUAGUGUAUCGUUUGUUGUGGUAGUAGUUUAUAGUCUGGUGUGGGUGUGGUAGUAGUGUGUAGUCUGGUGUGGGUGUGGUAGUAGUGUGUAGUCUGGUGUGGUUGUGGUAGUAGUGUAUAGCCUGGUGUGGUUGUGGUAGUAGUGUAUAGUCUGGUGUGGUUGUGGUAGUAGUGUAUAGUCUGGUGUGGUUGUGGUAGUAGUGUAUAGUUUGUUGCGGUAGUAGUGUAUAGUUUGUUGUGGUAGUAGUUUAUAGUCUGGUGUGGGUGUGGUAGUAGUGUAUCUCUGGUGUGGUAGUAGUGUAUAGUCUGUUGUGGUUGUACUGUAUAGCCUGGUGUGGUUGUGGUAGUAGUGUGUAGCCUGGUUCUGGUGUGGUAGUAAUGUGUAGCCUGGUGUGGUUGUGGUAGUAGUGUAUCGUCUGGUGUGGUUGUGGUAGUAGUGUAUCGUCUGGUGUGGUUGUGGUAGUCGUGUAUAGUCUGGUGUGGUUGUGGUAGUAGUGUAUAGUCUGGUGUGGUUGUGGUAGUAGUGUAUAGUCUGGUGUGGUUGUGGUAGUAGUGUAUAGUCUGGUGUGGUUGUGGUAGUAGUGUAUAGUCUGGUGUGGGUGUUGUGUAUAGUCUGGUGUGGUUGUGGUGUAUAGUCUGGUGUGGUUGUGGUGUAUAGUCUGGUGUGGUUGUGGUGUAUAGUCUGGUGUGGUUGUGGUGUAUAGUCUGGUGUGGUCGUGGUGUAUAGUCUGGUGUGGUAGUGGUGUAUAGCCUGGUGUGGUUGUGGUAGUAGUGUAUAGUCUGGUGUCGUUGUGGUAGUAGUGUAUAGUCUGUUGUGGUUGUGGUAGUAGUGUGUAGUCUGGUGUGGUUGUGGUAGUAGUGUAUAGUCUGGUGUGGUUGUGGUAGUAGUGUAUAGUCUGGUGUGGUUGUGGUAGUAGUGUAUAGUCUGGUUCUGGUGUGGUCGUGGUGUAUAGUCUGGUGUGGUAGUGG
rnacentral:lncRNA from 1 species